rnacentral:lncRNA from 10 species
GCGGCUGUCGCUGCGCGUCGGAGCCCGAGGGGCCGGGGACGCGCGCGGGGGGAGAGGGGCAAGAGUCCUGGAGGCCCGGCGGGGAGCGGGGCGAUUUCGAAAGGAAGGACUGCAGCGCCCCUCGGGGCUUCUCGGGGAGCCCAGGAGGAAAGAGCUCAAUGCGGAAUCACAUAGGCAAAGGCUCUGAUUAUUUUCCUUGCAAUCGAAGACAAAAGCCGCCAUGUUUAUUAAAAUGAAAGUCGUAUUUUUACUCUUCCCUGGAAAGAAGUAUGUGCAACCAGACCAUCCCACCAAAGUCCUUCUAGAGAAAGCACAUUGGCUGGUCCAGUAAUACGUCUGGCAUGUGGUGCCAGGUGCCAUUGAAGCUGAGGAGAUUCCAAUGUAUGCAAGCAUGUUUGAUGAAUCAGGGGCUGAUGACUAUCGGAAAACUGUGGCGUAAUGGAAGAUCCCCAGAAGGAGAAUUUACAGCUACUUCAAGUGGAAUCUGGCACAAUGAACAGACUGGCCACAGGAGCUGAAGACUGGAGGAGAGUGACACUUCUAACUAAUAGCAUCUAAAACAUCCCAGAUGAGCUACUUCAAGAGUGUUUGUGAACAUCUUGAAACAAAGGCCUAUCUUGUAAACAAACAGAGCUGUCCCACUAAACUCUCCUGGCCUAGGGCCUCUUCUGGGAGCAUUCAGAGAAAGCAGGACUUAGAGGAUAGGGAGUUAAACUUCCUGCCCUGGUUCAGAUCUGCAACUGAGCAGUGAAUGACUCAGCACCAGGAGAAGGCAUCUGUGGGCCUGAAUGCUGGCAGCCAGGAAUAAGUGCAAAGGCUGUGCCAGUGAUGGCCAGAGUGGACGGGACAUGGCAGUGGAGGCUGGAGUCAUAGUCCACAAUUUACCCUCAGCAUCUGAGAGAUACCCCUAGGGAAUCCCGGAGCUGUGGAACAAGGAGGAAAUUAUGUGAGAGAUGGGGAGGGGACCAAUGCCACUCAGUUUCACAGAGAGGGGUUAUCAGGCAAAAGAAUAUAGGGUAGUUCUUCUGAAUCUCGCACACAUUGGAAUCACUUGGGAACUGAUUCCUGGAUCUUAGCUCUAACAAUUCUGAUUUAAUUGGUCUGGGUGCAUUUGAGCAUUUUGGGAAGUUUUUAGUUUCCCAGGAAAUUCUAAUGUUCAGUCAACGUUGAGAACCAUUGAUCUAAGCCUAGGGCUCUCCAACUUAAACUUACAUCGGAGUCACUUGGAGGGCUUGGUAAGCAGUAAAUUACUGAUUCCAUCCCUAGAGUUUCUGAUUCUGUAGGUCUGGAGUGAGGCAUGAGAAUCUGUAUUUCUGUGAAGCUCCCAGAUGAUGCUGAUGCUGAAGGUCUGUGGAACACAUUCUGAAUGGUACUGACUUGGGUUAAGUAUUUAUUGAGAUGACAUUUGUACCCACCAUGUGGGGUGGGUGCUGGGGACAUUUGGAUCAUGGAAACAGUAUAGAGCAGGACCCAACACAUAGGCUUAUUAACAGCCUGAGCCUCAUGCUGCCUCUGCUGCAUUCCAGCUACAUGAACUUGAAUAAUUUACUCAAACUUUCUAGACCUAAUUUCCCCAUGAGUAAAACAAGAACAUUAUGGCAGCUACUCACAAGUUGGUCGCAAUAUUUUUUUUGUUUUGUUUUGAGGCUGGAGUGCAGUGAUGCAAUCUCCACUCACUGCAACCUCCACCUUCCAGGUUCAAGCGAUUCUUGUGCCUCAGACUCCUGAGUAGAUGGGAUUACAGGUGUGCACCACCAUGCCCAGCUAAUUUUUGUACUUUUAGUAGAGAUGGGUUUUCACUAUGUUGGCCAGGCUGGUCUCCAACUCCUGGCCUCAAGUGAUCCACCCACCUCAGCCUCCCAAAGUGCUGGGAUUACAGGCGUGAGCCACCAUGCCUAGCAAAUACUUAAUAUUUUAAAAGUGCUUUUAUCACUGAUAAACACACUACAUACAUUAUAAUAAUUUAAUCCCCAGCUAACCCUGUGAAGUAUUAUUUCUCCUGUUUCACAGAUGAGGAAGCUGGGAAGUUGGGUUAAGUAACUUGCCUUAGUCACACAGGUAGUUAGGAUUGGCUUAGAAUCUGAACCCAGGCAAUCUGAAUCCAAAGCCCAUAUACUUCACUAUUAUACUAUACUAGUGCAACAAAUAUGAGCUACUAUGGAUAGUGAUUAUAUUAAGAAUUAAAUGUAAUGAAAUUCUUAAAACUCCAGUUCAUUGUUUUCAUGAAACACAAAUAGAACACAGUAGAUAUGAGGAAUUGCUAUAAUUAAAUCUAAACUCAGUUCUCUAAACCAGUGUUUCUCCAAGUGUGUCUUGAGAUUACCUACAAAGAAAUCAUUUGGAAACUCCCUACCUCAAAUCUUUGGAACCACAAUCUCUUGGGGGCAGAGCUACAGAAUCUGAGAUUUUAAAUAAGUUCCCAAGGAGAGCUGGUUUCCCAGCUGUAGUCUGAGUCACAUGCCUAUAAAUUAAACAUAUUUAGUAAUCAUUCUUUUCGUAUUUCUCAGACUGAUCUAGUGUUUUUCUCAAUGUUAUUUUUUAUGAAUUUAGAAUACACUAUUUUGAGUAGCUCAAGUAGAAUUGUCUACAGUUUGAGAAAAUAAAACCUAUCCUUUAAGCUUUCGUAAGUAGGCAAAUAAAAUAAUAAUCUGGCUUAAAAUCAAAAUCAUUAUGAUAUGUGGUGGUGAGGGAAGAGAGAGACCCUCUCAUAUUGUUUUAUAUUGUUUUAUACUCAGAAAAGGAAAGAAAAGCAAAACUAAAGGCAGGUAGCCUGGUGCCUAGGAACCAGACCCGAAACCAGGCCUGGGCCUGCCUGACCUAAGCCUGGUAGUUAAAAUUAGACCCCUGAUCUAGCAACUGAUGUUAUCUAUAGAUUCCAGACAUUGUAUGGAAGGACACUGUGAAACCUCCUGUUCUGUUCUGUUUCACUCGGACCACUGGUGCUUGCAGCCCCUGUCACAUACCCCCUGGCUUGCUCAAUCGAUCACGACUGUCUCAUGCGGACCCCCUUAGAGUUGUGAGCCCUUAAAAGGGACAGAAGUUCAGCAUCUGACGAGCUCGGAUUUUAAGACACUAGCCUGCCGAUGCUCCCAGCUGAUUAAAGCCACUCCCUUCCCUAUCUCGGUGUCUGAGGGGUUUUGUCUGUGGCUUGUACUGCUACAGUGGCUCAAGAACCCAACUGGACAAAUAAAAUAAGCAAACAAUUUCAUUUUAGAGAUAAAAUUAAAUUAUAGCUGUAUCUCUGACCUUCCUGUUGUACUUCCUCAGUUUAAACAGCUGAGUAAUUAAGACUUUUUAAAUGUAGAAUUUACUGACACAGUAAAGUCAGUUAUAUAUUUAUUUAUUUAUUUAUUUAUUUAUUUUCAGACUCAACAGAGAUAGGACACUGUGAAGUUUUACAGGAAACCAUUCCUAUUUGAGGAAUUCCUCUGAUUCAAUGUUGUCAAUGAGCACUUAAACGUCAAUGACAAAAGUUUCCACUCUGGCUAUGAUGGACUGGCAUGUUACCACCCAGUACAACUGGAAAAGUUGCAUAAACUUUUUUUAAACAAGUUCUUUGAAAACACAGGCACAUUAUCAAAGGAGGGAGAACUUUAGGGGCUAACGUGGCUGAGAGAGGGGAAGCAAAGAGUUGAGCCCAGUAUCUGUUGCUGCUUUUUCCCUUGUGGUAUUUGCCAAUUUGUAGGGGAGAGAGAGAGAGAGAGAGAUACAGAGAGAGAGAGAGAGAGACCCAAGUAGAGCAGAAGCUGAGAAAAAACUGGCAGCAAAGGCUCAGGAAUUGAGCAGCAGUGUAAGCAGUCUCAUGGGGCUGGGGUGGGAGAGAAAGAAUUGGAGUAUAGGGCCUGCUGAAGAAGAGUGUCCGUGGUAAAAGACCAGUCCUUCAGCUGUGAUCCACAAAGGGCUACAUCUUAGGAGUAAAGACAGACUGACAGCAAACAGACUUUGAGUCAGCUCAAUCCCAGGCUAGUUGGAAGUGAUUGGCAGUACCCUGUCUGUCAAAAUCAAAAGUAAAUAUCCCCUGGAGGAGGAUAACCUUGUACAGAGCCUCAAAUCAUUGCUAUAGUUUUUCAUACAUAAUAUCUGGCAAGUAACAAAGAAAGUACUUGGCCAGAUCAAAUCACUGAAAAAUCACAAGGAAAAAAAAAAAAGACAAUGGAAAGUGACCAGCAGGAGAUCCGGAUACACAGCUUAUGGGUUUUUUAAUGAUUACUAUGUUCAAGAUAAUAAAUGGCAAAUAGGUAAUUUCAUCAAAGAAUUAUAAUCCAUUAAGGAGACUCACAUGAAAUUCUUAAACUGAAAAUAUUAUGCAAAUGAAUAACUUAGUAGAUGAAUUUAAAAGCAUGUUGACACAGUUGAAAAGAGGAUUAGUGAGCUUUAAGGUACUAGACUAUAUCCAGACUAAAGCUUAGAGAGCAAAAGAAAUACAGUAAAGAGCUAAAAGGCAAAUGGAAUAUGGUGAAAAGUUUAGUACACAUGCAUUUGGAGCUCAAAAAGGAAAGGGAGAAGAGAAUAUGACAAAAGCAAUAUUUGAAUAGAUAAUGAUCAAGAAUUCUACUAAAGUGGCUGGGCG